UCUCAGAGAUUAAGCCAUGCAUGUCUAAGUACAAACCUUCAAACGGUGAAACCGCGAAUGGCUCAUUAAAUCAGCUAUGGUUCCUUGGAUCGUACAUACUACAUGGAUAACUGUAGUAAUUCUAGAGCUAAUACAUGCCACUAUGCCCUGACCCGCAAGGGAACGGGUGGAUUUAUUAGAACAGAACCAACCGGCAGUGGCUUCGGUCGCUGUCGUUGCAUUCUGUGAUGACUCUGGAUAACUUUACUGAUCGCAGUCGGCCUUGUGUCGGCGACGGAUCUUUCAAAUGUCUGCCCUAUCAAUUUUCGAUGGUAGGUGACCUGCCUACCAUGGUGAUAACGGGUAACGGGGAAUCAGGGUUCGAUUCCGGAGAGGGAGCCUGAGAAACGGCUACCACUUCCAAGGAAGGCAGCAGGCGCGCAAAUUACCCAAUCCCGGCACGGGGAGGUAGUGACGAAAAAUACGGAUACGGGACUCAUUAGAGGCUCCGUAAUUCGAAUGAGUACAAUUUAAAUCCUUUAACGAGGAUCAACUGGAGGGCAAGUCUGGUGCCAGCAGCCG
rnacentral:rRNA from 1 species